rnacentral:rRNA from 1 species
AAAGUCCCCUUCGGGGGGCGAGUAGAGUGGCGUCCGGGUGAGUAACACGUAGGUAAUCUACCUUUGGGUGGGGAAUAACGCAGGGAAACUUGCGCUAAUACCGCAUAAUGCAGCGGCACCACAUGGUGACAGUUGUUAAAGCGGGGGAUUUUCGAACCUCGCGCCUAAAGAGGAGCCUGCGGCAGAUUAGCUAGUUGGUAAGGUAACGGCUUACCAAGGCAACGAUCUGUAGCCGGCCUGAGAGGGCGGUCGGCCACACUGACACUGACAUACGGGUCAGACUCCUACGGGAGGCAGCAGUCGGGAAUUUUGGGCAAUGGGCGAAAGCCUGACCCAGCAACGCCGCGUGAAGGAUGAAAUCCCUCGGGAUGUAAACUUCGCAAGAAUAGGAAGAAUUAGCGAGUACUAAUACUGCUCGUGAUGACGGUACUAUUUGUAAGCUCCGGCUAACUCCGUGCCAGCAGCCGCGGUAAUACGGGGGGAGCAAGCGUUGUUCGGAUUUACUGGGCGUAAAGGGCGCGUAGGCGGUCAGCACAAGUCAGUUGUGAAAUCUCCGGGCUUAACUCGGAAAGGUCAACUGAUACUGUGCGACUAGAGUGCAGAAGGGGCAACUGGAAUUCUCGGUGUAGCGGUGAAAUGCGUAGAUAUCGAGAGGAACACCUGCGGCGAAGGCGGGUUGCUGGGCUGACACUGACGCUGAUGCGCGAAAGCCAGGGGAGCGAACGGGAUUAGAUACCCCGGUAGUCCUGGCCUUAAACGAUGGAUGCUUGGUGUCUGGAGUUUUAUAGUCUCCGGGUGCCGUAGCUAACGCGUUAAGCAUCCCGCCUGGGGAGUACGGUCGCAAGACUGAAACUC